rnacentral:rRNA from 1 species
GGACGGGUGAGUAACGCGUGGGCAACCUGCCUCACACUGGGGGAUAACAGUCAGAAAUGACUGCUAAUACCGCAUAAGCGCACGGGAUUGCAUGAUCCAGUGUGAGAAACUCCGGUGGUGUGAGAUGGACCCGCGUUGGAUUAGCCAGUUGGCAGGGUAACGGCCUACCAAAGCGACGAUCCAUAGCCGGCCUGAGAGGGUGGACGGCCACAUUGGGACUGAGACACGGCCCAGACUCCUACGGGGGGCAGCAGUGGGGAAUAUUGCACAAUGGGGGAAACCCUGAUGCAGCGACGCCGCGUGAAGGAAGAAGUAUCUCGGUAUGUAAACUUCUAUCAGCAGGGAAGAAAAUGACGGUACCUGACUAAGAAGCCCCGGCUAACUACGUGCCAGCAGCCGCGGUAAUACGUAGGGGGCAAGCGUUAUCCGGAUUUACUGGGUGUAAAGGGAGCGUAGACGGAGCAGCAAGUCUGAUGUGAAAGGCGGGGGCUCAACCCCCGGACUGCAUUGGAAACUGUUGAUCUUGAGUACCGGAGAGGUAAGCGGAAUUCCUAGUGUAGCGGUGAAAUGCGUAGAUAUUAGGAGGAACACCAGUGGCGAAGGCGGCUUACUGGACGG